AUCGCACGUCGGGCGUUCGCCCGGGGCCCGCCCCUAACCGCGUCCGCGGAGCAGCCCCCGCUUCCCAACCGCACAUGCCGCUCUCCGUCCCCGCCCCCGCCCCCACUUUCUUUAUUGACCCUCUCACUCCGCGUCGCGUCCCGUCUUGUCUAGUCGUCGGGUUGGUAGGUGCUCAGCCUGGUUUCCUCCCCUCUUCUCCGCCUUUUCCUCCGCCGGGGCCGGGAAGCUCCGACGAAUUGCGCCGCUCGCCAAGUUGAUGUCAUCGUCGCACUGAACAUUUAUUGAUAAAUUAGUCAAAACUCACUGCUGUUAAUCUCUGGGAGGUGUACUGUCUCCUUGGAUUCCGGCAAAUAGAUCACCUCCACAAGGUUGGAAGAUAUGUCAGCAAAGGCCUCUAACAUGUCAUACAGAUAUCCAGACAAUUCUCAAAUACCAUACUACAGCAGUUCAAUGCAUGUGGGGGGAAAUGGUACUUGCUAUGUGCAACAAAAUCAUGAGGAUCAUCACUACGUGUCCUCUGAUGGUGGCUCACAGAACAGCGAUUCAAAGUCUCAGGUGAUUCACCCACAGUACAGCACUCUAGAGUCUUCAUCAGCCAAUUGUGUUUAUGCUGCCAAUAGCUCUACAUCUCCUCAGUGCAUAAGUGGGAGCCACAUUUCUCUGCAUGAUAGCCACUCAGAUCACACAUAUGAUUCUCCUGCAAGUGGCAUCACCGAGGUUCCAGGUUUGGGGUUUACAACACUUCAGGAGCUAGCAGAUGCACUGUUUGGAUCUGAUUCAGAUGCAGUUAGUUCUGACAGAUCCCUAGUAAUUGGCGCCGCAAUGCACCAAAGUAACUGGAGAGAGCUUCUGGGAAUCAGCUCUGGGGACUUGAAGCAGGUAAUUGUAGCAUGUGGUAAGGCUGUUGAUGAGAAUAAUUGUCAUGAGGACUUGCUGAUAUCAGAGUUACAGAAGAUGGUCUCCGUGUCUGGAGAACCAAUCCAACGUCUGGGAGCAUAUAUGUUGGAAGGCCUUGUUGCGAGGCGUUAUUCUACUGGACAUGCGUUGUAUAAAUCUCUGAAGUGCAAGGAACCUCAACCUACAAAUUCAGAGCUCAUGUCCUACAUGCAUCUUCUCUAUGAUAUCUGUCCAUUCUUCAGAUUUGGUUACAUGUCUGCCAAUGGUGCUAUAGCCGAGGCUGUUAAGGGUGAGAACUUUAUUCACAUCAUUGAUUUCCAAAUUGCUCAAGGGAGCCAGUGGGUAACUAUGAUACAGGCCCUUGCUGCGAGGGUUAGCGGACCACCAUACCUAAGAAUUACUGGUAUAGAUGAUUCAGAUUCGGCUUAUGCCCGAGGUGGUGGACUGGAUAUAGUUGGGCGUAGGUUAUGCAACAUUGCUCAGUCAUGUUGUCUGCCCUUUGAGUUCAACGCCGUAAAUGCAGCUAGUCAUGAGGUUACACUUGAACAUCUCGAUAUAAGAAAGGGAGAGGCUAUUGCUGUCAACUUUGCAUAUCAGCUGCAUCAUACUCCUGAUGAGAGUGUCUGCAUAGAAAACCACCGGGAUAGGAUAUUGAGAAUGGUUAAGAGCCUUUCUCCUAGGGUGGUAACCCUUGUAGAGCAGGAGGCUAACACAAACACUGCCCCAUUCUUCAGUAGAUACAUGGAGACCCUUGACUACUACACAGCCAUGUUCGAGGCAAUAGAUGUUGCUUGCCCCAGGGAUGACAAGGUGAGGAUGAGCACUGAGCAGCACUGUGUUGCAAGAGAUAUUGUCAAUUUAAUUGCAUGUGAAGGUGCAGAAAGAGUGGAGAGGCAUGAACCAUUUGGAAAGUGGCGGUCUAGGUUUGCAAUGGCUGGCUUUAGACGCUAAGUGCAUUGGUGAACAAUACUAUCAGAACACUGUUAAAUGAUUACAACAGUUACUACAAGCUAGAGGAGAAAGAUGGUGUCAUUUAUCUUGGAUGGAAGAACAGAAAGCUGGUUGUAUCUUCUGCAUGGCAGUGAGAUUCCUGAAUAUGGAAGAAGCUUGUUUAGGUUCUUUCAUGGCUUUGUCUUCGGCACAUAGAUCCAAGGGUGGAACCUAAUCAGCGAAUGUGAGUUCCAUAAUCCAAAGGACUGUGGCUGCUUGCUUCUUGGCGCCCAGCUGUCAACCCUCCGCUGCGCACACCAUUCAGAUUUGAUGGGUAUAACUGAAAUACUCGUCGUGGCAUCCUGUUGUAAUACAGGCACAAACCGUGCUGCUGCUACCGUCUACUGACCAUCUGUAGCUGCUGAACCACGUCCUGAAUCUUAAAGGGGAUCUUUAUGUUCCUUGGUAGUUUCAUUUUUCUCUCUCUCAUCUUUAUGCGAUACCUGGAGCUUAUGCUAGGCCAUGGUAGCCGGCACACAGUUGUCUGGUAGAUUGUGUAUGUUCCACAAAAAAAGUAGAUUGUGUAUGUACCAUUGUUGGAUGAUUUAUUGUAUGUAUAUGUUACACGAACUGAACUUCUGGUAAUAUAUUUCUGGUUUGUUUGUCGCAA